rnacentral:lncRNA from 1 species
CAUCAUGAACAACAGCAUGAAUGGUCUCAAAGGGGGUCUUAGCUUCAAAUGGCGUGCAUAUAGUUUGUCUAACAUCAGUUUCUUCAUGUGUUAAGACUUGGGAUUAUCAUAUAGCUAAAUGUUCAAAUUCUCCGAGAUAAGGUGUAAGAAAACUAUUGUAAUAUGGUCAAGAACAGCAGUAUGAAUGGUGUCAAAAUGGCUUACAAAUAGUUUGUCUAACAUCAGUUUCCUCGGGUUAAGACUUGGGUAUGUUCCAUGGACUCCAAAUUGUUGAAGUCAAUUUAUUUAAGAUAAGUAUAAGUCGUGUUAAAUACUUAACAUAUUAAUUUACUUUUUCUUUUCUUAGAUUUACAAAUUACUUAGAUGAGGAAGAACAAGGAUUCUACAUGGAAUUUGAAGAAUGAUAGGAUAAAGACGGAUUUUAUUUCUAUUCAUAAUUACUAUAUUUUGUUCUGAAUAAAGAUGUCCCAUUAUA